UACGUAGGCAGCGAGCGUUGUUCGGAAUUACUGGGCGUAAAGAGUGUGUAGGCGGUGCUCUAAGUUCGGUGUGAAAUCUCCUGGCUCAACUGGGAGGGUGCGCCGGAAACUGGAGUGCUUGAGCGUGGGAGAGGAAAGCGGAAUUCCUGGUGUAGCGGUGAAAUGCGUAGAUAUCAGGAGGAACACCUGUGGUGUAGACGGCUUUCUGGACCAUAGCUGACGCUGAGACGCGAAAGCUAGGGGAGCAAACAGG
rnacentral:rRNA from 1 species